GUGAGCCCUGAACCCAACGGCGGAACCAACGAGAACUGUAUAACGGUGGACUACCGCGGAGACUGGGCCACAGUCCGCUGUGGACGGUAUUUCCUCUAUGUCUGCGAAGUGUGACGGCGCCAUAUAUUUAAGAGAGCUGGAUGAAUGGCCGUGGUCAUUUUAUAAGCAAUAUUACCUUCUUUAGUCAAAAAGCUCUGCUUAUAAUUAAUUCGUUGAAAAAUUAUUCAAAUUUCAAUUUUUAUAUUUGGAUUUUUUCUGUAUUAUUUAUACUCAGUUUUUGACCAAAAUUAAGUUUUAAAGCUGGGCAGAUCUAGUUGUGUUGGGUGAUUCGAUGAACGUCCAGACAGGUUAGCUGUGGUGUGUCUAUAGAACAGUGACUCUACAUAUUACAUAUUAUAUAGGUAUCGUGGCCUAACAUCCACUCUUGUUAGUGCUUUAUAUGCAAUGUAUAUAGAUAUGUUAGUGAGGAGCUGAGACCCUAUAAAUAUAAACUCUGUACAAAUAUUGUGUUGUCAACAGUAACUUCACUGUCUUUAUAAAUACUGUAGUUGGCUUACUGUGCAGCGAUACUAUCUCCAUUUGUGCUUAUAAACUCUUCUUAUGAUACUACAUAAUGUACAUGUAGUUUUGUUGAUGUCCAUAUAUCUGUGAGGUGUGGCCUAUGGGAGAUGUCCGGGGGGUUCUUUCAACAUAAGCUUAAUAUAGAACAUGAUUGAAUACCAGCAUUUUAUUUGUUCAAUGUUUUCAAUCACAAGACAAUAAAACUGUACAGAUUUUGGCUUAAUCAAUUUAGUCUAAGAACGCUCCAUGAUCCUAGGACCAGUGCAUGUACUUGAAUUUGCUUAUAAGUUAUU
rnacentral:misc_RNA from 1 species